rnacentral:rRNA from 1 species
ACGGCCUUCGGGUUGUAAACCUCUUUUAGUAGGGAAGAAGCGUAACAGUGACGGUACCUGCAGAAAAAGCACCGGCUAACUACAUGCCAGCAGCCGCGGUAAUACGUAGGGUGCAAGCGUUGUCCGGAAUUAUUGGGCGUAAAGAGCUCGUAGGCGGUUUGUCGCGUCUGCUGUGAAAACCCGAGGCUCAACCUCGGGCCUGCAGUGGGUACGGGCAGACUAGAGUGCGGUAGGGGAGAUUGGAAUUCCUGGUGUAGCGGUGGAAUGCGCAGAUAUCAGGAGGAACACCAAUGGCGAAGGCAGAUCUCUGGGCCGUAACUGACGCUGAGGAGCGAAAGCAUGGGGAGCGAACAGGAUUAGAUACCCUGGUAGUCCAUGCCGUAAACGUUGGGAACUAGAUGUGGGGACCAUUCCACGGUCUCCGUGUCGCAGCUAACGCAUUAAGUUCCCCGCCUGGGGAGUACGGCCGCAAGGCUAAAACUCAAAGGAAUUGACGGAAUCGAAUU